GCAGUAGGAUAGGCGAAGCGUGCGAUUGGAUUGCACGUCUAAGCAGUAAGGCUGAGUAUUAGGCAAAUCCGGUACUCGUUAAGGCUGAGCUGUGAUGGGGAGAAGACAUUGAGUCUUCGAGUCGUUGAUUUCACACUGCCGAGAAAAGCCUCUAGAUAGAAAAUAGGUGCCCGUACCGCAAACCGACACAGGUAGUCAAGAUGAGAAUUCUAAGGUGAGCGAGCGAACUCUCGUUAAGGAACUCGGCAAAAUGACCCCGUAACUUCGGGAGAAGGGGUGCUCUUUAGGGUUAACGCCCAGAAGAGCCGCAGUGAAUAGGCCCAAGCGACUGUUUAUCAAAAACACAGGUCUCUGCUAAACCGUAAGGUGAUGUAUAGGGGCUGACGCCUGCCCGGUGCUGGAAGGUUAAGAGGAGUGGUUAGCUUCUGCGAAGCUACGAAUCGAAGCCCCAGUAAACGGCGGCCGUAACUAUAACGGUCCUAAGGUAGCGAAAUUCCUUGUCGGGUAAGUUCCGACCCGCACGAAAGGCGUAACGAUUUGGGCACUGUCUCAACGAGAGACUCGGUGAAAUCAUAGUACCUGUGAAGAUGCAGGUUACCCGCGACAGGACGGAAAGACCCCGUGGAGCUUUACUGUAGCCUGAUAUUGAAAUUCGGCACAGCUUGUACAGGAUAGGUAGGAGCCUUUGAAACGUGAGCGCUAGCUUACAUGGAGGCGCUGGUGGGAUACUACCCUAGCUGUGUUGGCUUUCUAACCCGCACCACUUAUCGUGGUGGGAGACAGUGUCAGGCGGGCAGUUUGACUGGGGCGGUCGCCUCCUAAAAGGUAACGGAGGCGCUCAAAGGUUCCCUCAGAAUGGUUGGAAAUCAUUCAUAGAGUGUAAAGGCAUAAGGGAGCUUGACUGCGAGACCUACAAGUCGAGCAGGGUCGAAAGACGGACUUAGUGAUCCGGUGGUUCCGCAUGGAAGGGCCAUCGCUCAACGGAUAAAAGCUACCCCGGGGAUAACAGGCUUAUCUCCCCCAAGAGUUCACAUCGACGGGGAGGUUUGGCACCUCGAUGUCGGCUCAUCGCAUCCUGGGGCUGUAGUCGGUCCCAAGGGUUGGGCUGUUCGCCCAUUAAAGCGGUACGCGAGCUGGGUUCAGAACGUCGUGAGACAGUUCGGUCCCUAUCCGUCGUGGGCGUAGGAAAUUUGAGAGGAGCUGUCCUUAGUACGAGAGGACCGGGAUGGACAUACCUCUGGUGUACCAGUUGUCGUGCCAACGGCAUAGCUGGGUAGCUAUGUGUGGACGGGAUAAGUGCUG
rnacentral:rRNA from 1 species